rnacentral:rRNA from 1 species
ACGCUCGACACCUACGGGAGGCAGCAGUCGGGAAUAUUGCGCAAUGGAGGGAACUCUGACGCAGUGACGCCGCGUAUAGGAAGAAGGUUUUCGGAUUGUAAACUAUUGUCGUUAGGGAAGAGAAAGGACAGUACCUAAGGAGGAAGCUCCGGCUAACUACGUGCUAGCAGCCGCGGUAAUCUGAGCGGGCUGGCAAGGC